AGGGUCUAAACAACGCAAUCCUGCCACCCUGCUACUGCUAGUGCUAUCCAAGGCGGCAGCAACGCUCACCGAGCUGGGGAUGGUCAGCAUAAACAAGGCAGAUAUCGUUGAGCCCGCCGAUGAAAUCUUCCCUCCCAUCGAUCACGGCCAUGCUCUUGUAGUGGACAAUUGCCUCGACGCAAAUCCGACAAUGUACAGAUCAAUUUCUCCUUCGCGGGUAGUACCAAAGAGAAGUUUCCAACCGCCCACAAACGAGAGACAGGGGCCACAGGCAGAGGAAAUAGAAAACCUCCAUGUUCAGAUCAGUCCUCUCAAAUGUAAGCUGAACAAGGUACUGUAUUAUCGUUCUAUAUGAGAUGAACGGCAGCAGGUUGAGGUCUACCGCCGGCUCUCCCGGUACUACAUCCAAGCCCAUGAGUUACCCUCGCCCGGAGAGGAACCAGAUAAUGCACAACUGAGCAAGGAAUUGGAGCGUUGUCUGGAUGCUUAUGAAAUAAAUUUCCUCGAGCAUGCCAAAGACAAUCCUGAAUGGUACUUCCAUCCUGAACAAUGCAAGCUUGCCAGCUUGGAAGACUACCAGCGGCUAGUGCUUCGUGAUCAUGGUAUGUAUGGAGAUUUGAAGCAAUACCGCCUGUAUUAUCAUACCUACCAGGGAGAUGUAGAGUAUGUCCAGUUCUGUGAGCAGAUGGCGGAGCAAAUUAAGUGGAUUGACAAUGAAGCAGCACUCUUCGGCGAUCAGGUACUCCUCAUAGCCUCUUGCAUUUGAUCUAACUACACUGUGUUGUACCUAGGUGAAAGCGUAAUUCUGAGUCUACAACGAAUUAAAUGCACGAAGCUUAGCACCCGAAAGCUUAGCAUCUUUGCAUUGUGGACUUAAGUUGCUAAGGCAUUUAAUAUGCUUAGCACCUCAUCUAAGCACCUUUGCAUUGGGGGAGGUCUAAGUGCUUUUGCAAACAAUAGAAUUUAUUCCAUCACUCAUCAUCUAUCUUGAUAAAAGAGAUUUUUAAAUUAAGCCAUAUAAACCAUAAAAGAGGGAGUAGUAUGAAAAGCUCAGGUGGCAGCUAUGGCUGGCAGUUCUCACUGGCGAACGCUCGGCAAUGACUACUCCAUUCUACUCCCUUCGUCCCAAAAUAUAAGAAAGAUUUUAACACUACACUAAUGUCAAAAGUGUUCUUAUAUUAUGGAACGGAGGGAGUAUAAUGUAGUGCAUAUAAAUUUUCAUACUUGGUCAAAGUUUAUAAAACUUGAUUUAAAAACAAAAAUGUUAACGCCCACACGUGUGGGCGUUAGCUAACUCGUCCACACGCCUCCAUCAUCGUCCAGUAACUUCUGCACGAAUCUUGGCACGAAUUAGCUGAUUUUGUAUGCCACGUAGGACAACGCGCGUGUGUGGUGUGUGAGAGAGGUCGCCCACACAUCCGUUUUACCACACGGAGGGGCCGAUGUGUGGGCGUUUAGCAGUUCAGCGACACACCAGUUUUUCAGUCACGCACAAGGGCUGGUGCGUGGGCGUUUGCCAUCUCACCCACACACCCGCCUCCUCUCCCACACCCAAGCUGCCAGUUGCCAUGCAUUUUGCAGUGUACAUGGCAACUGCCCUAGUAUGA